rnacentral:lncRNA from 1 species
GUUACACAGCUGGGAGGUGUAGAGCAGGGAUUUACACCCAGGUCUGUCUCACUCUGAAUUCUGUCUUCUUUACAGGAGGCCUGGUUCUAAUUCUCAAAUUGCAUGAAUUGACUGGAAGCUCAGGAAGAGGAUCCUCCCCGGGAAAGAGGGGAAAACCUGCUACUUAGGAAGUGCUUUGUUACUGGAUCUUCGUUACUGGAUCUUCGUUACUGGAUCUUCGUUACUGGAUCUUCGUUACUGGACCUUUCGUUACUGGAUCAGGAAUUGCAAACUGGAGUGUUCUUGAUAACCAGUGUCUUUAAAAACAAAUAUAAACAACUGAAGAGGAGCAGGUACCAUCCAGUUCCUCAGGCCCCACUAAUUUCCAUGGCUGUGAUACUCUUCCCAUUAACACAUUUUUCUUAAUCUACUGGCCCUUAUAUGUUUUUGAGUCUACACACCCCAAUGCAGCGCAAUUUAAUAAAGCACUUCGUAUUAUGGCCUAAUGAUGGAAGGAAGGACAGUUUUUUUCUAGUCUUUAAAACUAAGAACAAUCUGCUUAUAUGAUGACAGGAUAAAUGUUUGUGUGGUUGGAAGAUGCUAAUCAAAUCUCACUGAUUUUGAAACUCCACAAUUUAAGAAUAAUUCCUGGCUGGGCAUAGUGGCUCAUACCUGUAAUCCAAGGCUGAAGGAUCACUUGAGCCCAGGAGUUUGAGACCAGCUUGGGCAACAUAGUGAGACUCUGUCUCUACAAAACAGUAUUUUAAAAGAAUUAGCUAGGCAUGGUGGCAUGAGAACCUGUAGUCCCAGCUACUCAGGAGGCUGAGGCAGGAGGAUUACUUGAGCCCGGGAGAGUUUGAGGCUUCAGUGAGCUGUGAUUGUGCCACUGCACGCCAACCUGGGUGACCGAGUAAGAUCCCCAUCUCAAAAAAACAAAAAGAAAUUCCUUUGAAUGAAGUGCCAUGGGGUUGGAGAUGUUCAGGGAAAGGGACUAGUAAGGUCAGUUUCAGAUACAAGUAGCACCUUGAGGUCCAGAGAUAAAGCCCUUGUGAAUGUCUGACCCAGGCAAAAUAUUGCAGUGUUGUCUGAACCUGAUGGAAGAUGAGUCUUUAAUCCUAUUAAGUGUGGCCCUCAAAUGGACCCUCAGUGGUGUUAAAGCAAAAUAAAUAUGUCCUGAGAAGGACUCCAUAGUUCUAUAUUUGAAUCCUUGUGGAUGAAAUGUAACCGAGCUUAACAGACAAAACUAAAAACCUAAUUAGUAGUAUCCACCUGUAACAAUAGCUGAGUGUUGGCCAAUCCCAGCGGCCGUACUUCAACCACUCUUAGAUUGCUGAAUUUUCAAACUGUGUUUAAAUACGGCAAACGCCAAGCUGUGACCAAUCUCAGUUUCUGUACCUCACUUCCUAUUCCUGCGUGUCACUUUACCCUUUCUGUCUAUGAAUUUGCCCUGACCACGAGGCAACCUUGGAGUCUCUGUGAAUCUGCUGUGAUUCUGGGGGCUGCCCGAUUUGCGAAUCGUUCGUUCCUCAAUUAAACUGCCUUAAAUUUAGUUGAGCUGAAGUUUUUCUUUUCUCAGUGGGCUGGGCC